GGAUGUUGGUGUAGUGGUUUGAAUGUUGGACUAUGACUUUGGAGACCAGGGUUCGUAUCCCUGAUUGGCCA